rnacentral:rRNA from 1 species
GCAGUCUGACCAGCCAUGCCGCGUGGAGGAUGAAGGUCCUCUGGAUUGUAAACUUCUUUUAUCUGGGACGAAACACUUCUUUUCUAAGAGGCCUGACGGUACCAGAUGAAUAAGCACCGGCUAACUCCGUGCCAGCAGCCGCGGUAAUACGGAGGGUGCAAGCGUUAUCCGGAUUCACUGGGUUUAAAGGGUGCGUAGGUGGGUAUGUAAGUCAGUGGNGAAAUCNCCGAGCUUAANUUGGNAACUGCCGNUGAUACUAUAUAUCUUGAAUGCCGUANAGNUAANCGGAAUAUGUCAUGUNGCGGUGAAAUGC